UGAUUGAAGUAAUAAUCAGUAAAACCUGCUCAAUGAAUUUUUAACAGCCGCAGAAAUCUGUGCUAAGGUAGCAUAAUCAUUUGCCUUUUAAUUGAAGGCUAGAAUGAAUGGUUUUACAUAUAAGAUAUUUUAUUAAAUAAAUUUUUUUACUUUUACUUGUUAGUAAAAAGGCUAACAUUAUAAGAAGGACGACAAGACCCUAUCAAACUUUACAUUUUUGUUACGCUGGGGCAGCGAAAAAAUAACAUCUUUAUUAUUAUCUUCUAUUUAUCUAUAUUAUAAAACUAUUAAGUUACUGUAGGGAUAACAGCAUAAUAUUCUUUAAAAGUUCUUAUUUUAAAGAAAGCUUAUGACCUCGAUGUUGAAUUAAAGAUUCUUUUACGGAGCAAAAUCUUAAAAAGAAAGUCUGUUCGACUUUUAAAACUUU
rnacentral:rRNA from 1 species